AAUAGCCUAACGGCUGAACCAGCAACUUGGAGGAAUAUAUAGCGCAAGCUGGUUGUAUUAACUGUAAGUUAAUGCAGCAUCGACUAUGUCGAAUAAAGUUCUAGGUAGAGCUAUGAUAAUGACAUUAUCUACCUAUGUGUCUUGACCAACUCCCGUGCCAGCAGUCGCGGCAAUACGUGGAAGACUAGCGUUAUUCAUCUUUAAUAGGUUUAAAGGGUACCUAGACGGUAAAUUAAGCCCCUAAAGGGUACUAAUUCACUAGAGUUUUAUGGGAGGGGGGGUGUACUAAAUAGUGUAGAGAUGAAAUUCUAUUAUACCUUUAUUGGAACAGGCAACGGCGAAAGCAACCCUUUAUGUAAUAA
rnacentral:rRNA from 1 species